UUUGCAUAUUUGUUUGCUAUACAUGGUUUUAUUUACAUUUUUGUUUGCUAUACAUGGUUUAAUUUUACAUCUUUGUUUGCUAUACAUGCACUUUUUUCAUAUCGGUUUAUUUCGUACAUUGAUGGUGUAUUGCCAGAUGACAAUAUGUGAUCUACUCAACCGGAAGACGCGUGGCAGAUCACCGAAAAAGGUCAGAGUUCAAAUACCGUCACGCUGAACAUACAUCACGCGUGAUCGCCUGGAACACUGCCAAUUAUUCUUGACCUUAAUUAGUGACCUUCUUGGAACUUUAAUCGCCGAUUUCGUAAAAUUCCGGUUUAAUUCAGAUCAAGAAAUCUUCAAAAUGAAUCAGCUUCUUUUUCUCGUUUUAUGCUCCAGUUGUCUGGUGUUUAUCGGCGUCCAAAGCUAUGGUGGUUACCAGGGAUACGGACAGAGCUAUCCCCCGUAUGACUCUUACGGUGGAGGAUACGGUUCGGGAUACGGGUAUGGCCUUGGUUACAGAAACAGCGACAGUAGGAUUUUAGCUUAUGGACUGGCAUUCCUUGUAGCAAUAUUUGCCCUCAACCUUUCUACUCUAAUAACUGGAUAGACUUUCAGGAACGACAGAAGAACCAUGUAGGUGGAUAGGACCAUGAAUUUGUUUUGAAUUUCAAUGUUAUUAAAAAACUGUUAUAUCUAAGUUUGCUUCAUGUUCUUUAUCAAACCGUCAACAUCAUCGCCAGCAACUUUCCUAUAAAUCUGAAAAAUUCGACAGGUAGACAGAUAAAGACGAAUCCUCUUAUCCGAAAAUCUCUUCAGGAGGGCGGAGAAGGUCAUCGAGAAAUAUAUACACAGAGCUUCACACAGGAAAAUUGAUGCAACCUCAAAAUGCGGUCAAGUAGACUGAUAGCCGGAAUUCCUGUAAUCCGGAAAUGUAGAAAGGUAGAUGGAUGGACAAAAUUCCUGUCAUCCGGAAAUGUAGAAAGGUAGAUGGAUGGACAAAAUUCCUGUCAUCCGGAAAUGUAGAAAGGUAGAUGGAUGGACAAAAUUCCUGUCAUCCGGAAAUAUCGACAGAUAGAUGGAUAGUGCAAUACCUGUACACAAGAAACGUUGACAUCUCAAUUUCAAUUUCUUUAUUGACUGUAGGCCAUACGGCCCGUAAGUACAUAUUAUAAACAAAACAAUACAUGAUAAUGGCAUAGAACAGCAAUGCUACAGUACAAAUACAAAGUGGAGUACGGAUUAAAGAUAUAAAGAUCGGAUUUUGUUUGCUUCAAAUAUAAAUUUGCCUAAGCGACUUAAUUCUUUGAUAUUUUGUACACUUAAUAACUGUAUUAAUUUGAACAUUGAAGGCUUUUGCCAAUAGUAUUUCUUAAUGAGGCGUCUUCUUUAAUUGGUAUACUUAUUACAUAUUAAUACAAAAUGGUAUUCAUCUUCUAUCUCAGUCGUUGAUUUACAAAUUAAACAGUGUCUCCAAUUUCGAUCAAUAUUGUUAAAGCGGCCAGUUUCGAUUGCUAAGGAAUGCGCAGACAUGCGUAGUUUUGAUAAACAUAUUCUGAAUUUCAUAGGUAUAUACUUACUUAAAUAAAACUGAAUAGAAAAAAUUAUCCACAAUAUGUUUAUAUAAAACACAUUUCGAGGACUUUUCUAAUGCAUCUCUCAAAUACUGUUGGGCUUGGUCAAAAAUUCUUUGUCGUAUACAAGGUAAAAUAGUUUCAGAGUUAUUUGGUGAUUGACAGAACCAUAUUUCGCCGAAACCUAAAAAGCAUAAUAACUCCUUUACACCGUGUACCCAAUUAAAACAUAAACCAGUGUUUUUACUUAAUAAAAAAUCAUAUGCAGUAUUCAAAAUACAGUUUUUUGUGUCGAGUAGUUUGAACCAAUAUUUAAUAAUUCUAUAUCUACGUGUAUAUUCUAAGGGAAAACGACCAAGUUCCCAGUAAACUGUUACAUUAUUUGCUGAUUUUUUAACCUUAAGUAAUUUCUUACAAAAAAGAACAUGUACAUUUUCAAUAUCUGGUCCUUUGGUCGAGCCCCACACUUCACAUGCAUAAAACAGAAUACUACUUACAUAAGUAUCAAACAAACUUAACAUGGUUUUACAAUUUAAACUCAUAUUUGAACAUUUAGAAAAUAAAGCAAACGUGGCUUUACGUCCUUGGUCCGCCAUUUUUUUUUUGUAAAUUCGUGAAUUUUUUGUUGUAUCUAAGGUU